rnacentral:lncRNA from 1 species
CAGCUAUUUAAGAGAUAGAAGCAGGGAUUUCAAGAGUACAAGGUCAGCCUGGGCUUGACUCAUCUCAAAACAAACAACCCCCAGCUCCCAGUAUGCAGUAUGAUUCAUUGUGACUUUCAAAGCACACGUGUUUCACAGAUUGUUCCUAAGUGCAUGCAUAUGUCGGAAGAAGCACUUAAAACCGAUAAGAGUCUCUCACUGCACAUGGAGCUCACCAACUGGCUAGACUGUCUCCAUAGCCCCAGCACUGGAAUUACAGCAUGUGGAGAUCAGAGGUCAACUUGUCAGAAUUGAUACUCUUCUUCUACCGAGUGGGUCCUAAGGAUGAAAUUCAGAUUGCCAUGCCUGACAAGAAGUAUCUUGUACUCAAAGCCAUCUCACUGCCUUCAUUUUUAACACAGUGGUAGCAUCCUACAUACAAGUUCUGUGCCUUUCUUGCUUCGUUUAACAAUAAAUCUUG